AGUGAACGCUGGCGGUAGGCCUAACACAUGCAAGUCGAACGGCAGCACAGUAAGAGCUUGCUCUUACGGGUGGCGAGUGGCGGACGGGUGAGGAAUACAUCGGAAUCUACCUUUUCGUGGGGGAUAACGUAGGGAAACUUACGCUAAUACGCAUACGACCUACGGGUGAAAGCAGGGGAUCUUCGGACCUUGCGCGAUUGAAUGAGCCGAUGUCGGAUUAGCUAGUUGGCGGGGUAAAGGCCCACCAAGGCGACGAUCCGUAGCUGGUCUGAGAGGAUGAUCAGCCACACUGGAACUGAGACACGGUCCAGACUCCUACGGGAGGCAGCAGUGGGGAAUAUUGGACAAUGGGCGCAAGCCUGAUCCAGCCAUACCGCGUGGGUGAAGAAGGCCUUCGGGUUGUAAAGCCCUUUUGUUGGGAAAGAAAAGCAGCAGGUUAAUACCCCGCUGUUCUGACGGUACCCAAAGAAUAAGCACCGGCUAACUUCGUG
rnacentral:rRNA from 1 species